GGUCUUGUAGUAUAUAACAAUUAAUACAGCAAACUGCAACUUUACUAAAGCUAAAAGCCAAGACCU
rnacentral:tRNA from 1 species